rnacentral:rRNA from 1 species
UACGUAGGGGGCAAGCGUUGUCCGGAAUCAUUGGGCGUAAAGCGCGUGUAGGCGGCUCGGUAAGUCCGCUCUGAAAGUCCAGGGCUCAACCCUGGGAUGCGGGUGGAUACUGCCGGGCUCGAAUCCGGAAGAGGCGAGUGGAAUUCCCGGUGUAGCGGUGAAAUGCGCAGAUAUCGGGAAGAACACCUAUGGCGAAGGCAGCUCUCUGGGACGGUACUGACGCUGAGACGCGAAAGCGUGGGGAGCGAACAGG